GGGGUUGUGGCUCAAUGGUUAGAGUGCUCGCCUCUCAUGUGCGAGGCACUGGGUUCGAUCCUCAGCACCA
rnacentral:tRNA from 1 species